ACCCAGUUGACGAGUCCUAAAUGGGACGAAACGUGCAUCCUGGAU
rnacentral:hammerhead_ribozyme from 1 species